AUUGAACGCUGGCGGCAGGCCUAACACAUGCAAGUCGAGCGGAUGAAGGUAGCUUGCUACCUGAUUCAGCGGCGGACGGGUGAGUAAUGCCUAGGAAUCUGCCUGGUAGUGGGGGACGACGUUUCGAAAGGAACGCUAAUACCGCAUACGUCCUACGGGAGAAAGUGGGGGAUCUUCGGACCUCACGCUAUCAGAUGAGCCUAGGUACGAUUAGCUAGUUGGUGAGGUAGAGGCUCACCAAGGCGACGAUCGUUAACUGGUCUGAGAGGAUGAUCAGUCACACUGGAACUGAGACACGGUCCAGACUCCUACGGGAGGCAGCAGUGGGGAAUAUUGGACAAUGGGCGAAAGCCUGAUCCAGCCAUACCGCGUGUGUGAAGAAGGUCUUCGGAUUGUAAAGCACUUUAAGUUGGGAGGAAGGGCAGUAAGUUAAUACCUUGCUGUUUUGACGUUACCGACAGAAUAAGCACCGGCUAACUUCGUGCCAGCCGCCGCAGUAA
rnacentral:rRNA from 1 species